UACGAAGGGGGCUAGCGUUAAUCGGAAUUACUGGGCGUAAAGCGUGCGCAGGCGGUUUUGUAAGUCUGUCGUGAAAUCCCCGGGCUUAACCUGGGAAUGGCGAUGGAGACUGCAAGGCUAGAGUUUGGCAGAGGGGGGUAGAAUUCCACGUGUAGCAGUGAAAUGCGUAGAGAUGUGGAGGAACACCGAUGGCGAAGGCAGCCCCCUGGGUCAAAACUGACGCUCAUGCACGAAAGCGUGGGGAGCAAACAGG
rnacentral:rRNA from 1 species